CGACCUCGGGGGUGCUGGAUGACGCACUGAACUUAAGCAUAUCAUUAAGUGCAGGAAAAGAAACCAAAUGGGAUUCCCCCAGUAACGGCGAGUGAAGUGGGAUGAGCUCAGCACCGAAGCCGGCGGUCGAGAGGCCGUCGUGCAAUGUGGUGUUCGGGAGGGCCAUGUCCGUGGCCGGCGUCGGUCCAAAUAAAGCUGGAAAGGAGUUCCG
rnacentral:rRNA from 1 species